UACGGGGGGAGCAAGCGUUGUUCGGAUUUACUGGGCGUAAAGGGCGCGUAGGCGGUCGUGACAAGUUACUUGUGAAAUCUCUGAGCUUAACUCAGAACGGCCAAGUGAUACUGCAGUGCUAGAGUGUGGAAGGGGCAAUCGGAAUUCUUGGUGUAGCGGUGAAAUGCGUAGAUAUCAAGAGGAACACCUGAGGUGAAGACGGGUUGCUGGGCCAACACUGACGCUGAUGCGCGAAAGCCAGGGGAGCAAACGGG
rnacentral:rRNA from 1 species